rnacentral:rRNA from 1 species
UACAGAGGUCCCGAGCGUUGUUCGGAUUCAUUGGGCGUAAAGGGUGCGUAGGCGGCGGGGCAAGUCUGAUGUGAAAUCCCGGGGCUCAACCCCCGGAACUGCAUUGGAUACUGCCUUGCUCGAGUACUGGAGAGGGAACUGGAAUUUACGGUGUAGCAGUGAAAUGCGUAGAGAUCGUAAGGAAGGCCAGUGGCGAAGGCGAGUUCCUGGACAGUUACUGACGCUGAGGCACGAAGGCCAGGGAGCAAACGGG